rnacentral:lncRNA from 1 species
GAAGGGCCAGGUUCCCUGUUGGGGAGAGGGGCUUGCAUCUGGGAGUAUGUUUCCUGGCGGAGCGAUAUUUGUUUACAGGCUGAGGGCAGUACUGUAAGUGAGUAGCGCUUCGAGAAGGCGGCUCUGACAUAAAUUAAUAUUGAAAUUACUCCAUCAGCUCUGCUCGCCCCUCAUCUCACCCCCCAGGCGAAGACUGGUCUUCUUGUCGGAUUGCCCAUGCACUUGUUGCAGAAACAGCCAAGGCCCUGGCUCUGGAGGAUGCUGAAGGAGGAAGACACAGAAGCAGGACGACUCUGAGAGAUUAAGCCUCUUAAUCGUGAAACAGAACCAGGCCUCCUCUCCCCACCUGCCCAGCAGCAUGAGAGCAGCAUGACUGGCCGGCCACAGGAGAAGCCCCCAGAGCCAGGCCCCCAUCUCAACCAGCUGCUGCAGAAGUCAAGGUGUGAGCAGCAUCUCUUCACCACGGUGGCAUUUGGUCCGUCCCUUAGCCCGGGUGAGGAUGUAAAACCCCUCGCUCUGCACAUGCGUGGUAGAGGCCAACAGGAACACCUGGCUGCAGCCACGGUCACGGACAUGUCAGCCGUGGAGUAGUGUGGACACUUUCUCUCUGCUUCUCAGGGUUUCAGUCCUUUCGGGUUUGUGUCAUUGACCUUUUUGUAUGGUUUUGUGGCUGGACGU